rnacentral:rRNA from 1 species
GAAGCAACGCGAAGAACCUUACCAGGUCUUGACAUCCCGUUGACCACUGUAGAGAUAUGGUUUUCCCUUCGGGGACAACGGUGACAGGUGGUGCAUGGUUGUCGUCAGCUCGUGUCGUGAGAUGUUGGGUUAAGUCCCGCAACGAGCGCAACCCUUGAUCUUAGUUGCCAUCAUUUAGUUGGGCACUCUAAGGUGACUGCCGGUGACAAACCGGAGGAAGGUGGGGAUGACGUCAAAUCAUCAUGCCCCUUAUGACCUGGGCUACACACGUGCUACAAUGGACGAUACAAACGGUUGCCAACUCGCGAGAGGGAGCUAAUCCGAUAAAGUCGUUCUCAGUUCGGAUUGUAGGCUGCAACUCGCCUACAUGAAGCCGGAAUCGCUAGUAAUC